UCAUAUCAAAAAUAAAGGCUGGACAGUAAAAACCACAGUUUAAAAUCUAAAGAUCUUGGCGGUGCUUCAUCUAAUCAGGGGAACCUGUUCCUUAAUUCGAUAAUCCACGAAUAAUUAUACCACUUCUAGAAUUUCAGUUUGUGUACUGCCGUCCAAAGUAUACCUCUAAGAACUUAUACAACCAUAACAAUAAAAUUAUUGCUAUAGAUGUCAGGUAAUAGUACAGCCAACGAAGUGGUGGAAAAUGGGUUACAAUCAAAAUAUAGAUACCAGUGUAAGCUCAAAACCUUACGAAAAGAUGGACUUGAUAGUAAUAAUUAGAUAUAAACCAAUUAUGAAAGAAGAAUCUGAAGCAUGCACACAUCGCCCGUCACUCCAAUUAAAGAAU
rnacentral:rRNA from 1 species